rnacentral:rRNA from 1 species
UACGGGGGGGGCAAGCGUUGUUCGGAAUUACUGGGCGUAAAGAGCUCGUAGGCGGUCUGUCACGUCGGUCGUGAAAACUUGGGGCUUAACCCUGAGCUUGCGGUCGAUACGGGCAUGACUUGAGUUCGGCAGGGGAGACUGGAAUUCCUGGUGUAGCGGUGAAAUGCGCAGAUAUCAGGAGGAACACCGGUGGCGAAGGCGGGUCUCUGGGCCGAUACUGACGCUGAGGAGCGAAAGCGUGGGGAGCGAACAGG